UCGUAGUUGGAUUCGGGCCCAGGCGGCCGGUCCGCCGUUUCGGUGUGCAUUGGUCGGCUCGGUCUUUCUGCCGGGGACGCGCUCCGUCUUGACUGCCGGACGCGGAGUCGGCGACGUUACUUUGAAAAAAUUAGAGUGUUCAAAGCAGGCUUACGCUCUGAAUACUAUAGCAUGGAAUAACACGAUAGGACUCCGAGCCUAUUUUGUUGGUCUUCGGGACCGGAGUAAUGAUUAAGAGGGACAGUUGGGGGCAUUCGUAUUACGGUGUCAGAGGUGAAAUUCUUGGAUUUCCGUAAGACGAACUUCUGCGAAAGCAUUUGCCAAGGAUGUUUUCAUUAAUCAAGAACGAAAGUUGGGGGCUCGAAGAUGAUCAGAUACCGUCGUAGUCUCAACCAUAAACGAUGCCGACUAGGGAUUGGAGGAUGUUAAUUCGAUGACUUCUCCAUCACCUUAAGAGAAAUCAAAGUUUUUGGGUUCCGGGCGGCGUAUGGUCGCAAGGCUGAAACUUAAAGGAAUUGACGGAAGGGCACCACCAGGCGUGGAGCCUGCGGCUUAAUUUGACUCAACACGGGGAAACUUACCAGGUCCAGACAUAGUAAGGAUUGACAGAUUGAGAGCUCUUUCUUGAUU
rnacentral:rRNA from 1 species